CACGAAGAGGCCUCCAUCGGUCUUUCAACCUUGCCUAUCGUACCCUUUUUGUUGUUCCCUCGGCGGGGUAAAGCCCGCCGGCGGGAAGCUCGAAAAACCCUUUGCAAUCAGCAUCCAAAAACUCUGAUUACAAAACCUUAAAUCGUUG
rnacentral:misc_RNA from 1 species